rnacentral:hammerhead_ribozyme from 1 species
ACACCGCUGAGGAGUCCCACAAUAGGAUGAAACGGCCAUCCAGUGU